rnacentral:misc_RNA from 1 species
CUGAGACUGGGUUUGCUCCGGCAGCCCGACCUCCAACCCUUUGUCUACCUACCUUUGUUGCCUCCGGUGCCUUGGGCUUAACCGCCCUCGCCCGGGAAAGGCCGUUCAUUAAACUCUUUGUAUUAAACAAUGUCUUCUGAGAAACAAAUCAAUAAACUUCA